GCAAGGUCUGUUGUGUCGUCUUUGCUGCUCGUGUCCUGUAGGAAAACAGACACACCAAGUUAACUGACAGCUUGUCGUUUUGAAUACAGUGACUUCAAAGAUAUAUUCGACGUGGAUCACUUCAAGGAAACAUUGAAGGAGGACAUUGUGGUUGUAGAUUCCCUACCACCAGCUUAUAGGAGGGUGAAGCCCUACGCGAGAGCGCCCACAUCCUGGUCCAGGGUAAGAGUCAAUAUGUCCUUACUGAUCAUAUAUAGACUGCAGGAACAUCAAAAGUUCAUUGUGUGUUUAAGCGCUCGCUCUGUUUUUGCAGGCUUCCUUUUACAGAGAUUUCUCAAAGAUACUGAAGAAGUACAAAGUAGUGAGAUUUACCCAUACGGAUUCACGGAUUGUCAACAACGGCCUCGCUCCUUCUCUCCAAAGGCUUCGAUGCCGUGCAAACUACAAAGCGCUUCAGUACAGGAAAGAGAUUGAAGAACUUGGUACUACCCUAGUUGAGAGACUGAAAAGGGGAUCAGACCAUUACAUCGCACUUCACUUAAGGUGAUUAUAAUUAAUACUCCUACAUCAAAACACUUCUUUCCUGCCGGGUUUUUUUUUUCUGCAGAUCACUGAUCCUUGAUUUUUAAUUUGCUUCUUCUAUUAAUUGCACAGAUACGAGAAGGACAUGCUGGCUUUCACUGGCUGCAACCACAACCUGACACUUCAUGAGGCAGACGAGCUGACUGAUAUGCGACUCAAAGUGAGACACUGGAAGGAGAAGGAGAUCAACAGCGGGGAGAAGCGGCUCCAGGGCGGGUGUCCCAUGACGCCUCGCGAAGCUGCUGUGUUCCUCAAAGCCAUGGGAUAUCCUUCCAGCACUAAAAUUUACAUUGUGGCUGGUGAAAUUUACGGGGCACACAGCAUGGAUGCGCUGAAAGCAGAAUACCCAAACAUUUACACGCACUACAGUCUAGCCACAGUAGAUGAACUAGAGCCGCUCGAGUUGUACCAGAACAGGCUAGCUGCUGUGGACUAUAUCGUGGCCCUGCAGAGCGAUGUCUUUGUGUAUACCUACGACGGAAAUAUGGCCAGGGCAGUUCAGGGUCACCGAAGAUUCGAAGGUUUCAGAAAAACUAUAAACCCCGACAGGUAAGUUCUUGGGAAUUCCAGGUAGAAUUUACUUAUUUUGAUCUUAAAAAUUCUUGGUCAUAACUUAUUUCUUGUUUGUAGGCUGAAGUUUGUAGAGCUCAUUGACAAACUCGACGACGGUUCCAUGCCCUGGGAUGAAUUCCAAAGUGAAGUGAGGAAGCAUCAUGAGGAUAGACUUGGAGGUCCGUAUGACAGAUUACCUGGUGAGAGUCCAAGGCAGGAGGAAUACUUCUACUCAAACCCUAUCCCUGGAUGCCUGUGCAAAAAGGUGCAGAGAGUAAAGUGAAGCAGGCUUGUCUCAAAGGGAAAUGGUUCGGUCUUCAGAGACGCUGCUGCCGGCUUGGCAGCAGGUGUAACACGGAUGGAGAUGACACUUCCUCCACAUGACAGGGGUGGCCGAAUAGAGAGGAUCCUAGUUAACUGACAGAGACCAGCCAUUUUGAUUUUGAUUAUUUCCUAGGCUGACUACACAUGUAGUUGAGGGCAUGGGGCCAAGAAUUGCAUUGUUGAGAGGAAACUUUUUCUACUGGAAAGAUGGAACGAGCACAGAGAUGUCGAAGUACUUGAAGGAUCAUACCAGCAAUUAUACAGGAGCAGCUAAAGUGAAAACACGUUAGGUCGAGGUCAUACACUCUCCUCAUGCUCGUGAUGCUUCCAAUUCGUUGUAGCAGUGACAUUAAACACUGGGUGGGUUAGUAAGAAUAAUGAUGUAUCAUGCUAUGUUUUUCGGCUGUAGAAAUCUGCUACCAGUCUAGACUGACAAUUGUCAAAAUACUUCUUAGUGUAGUUCAGAGCAAUAAAUUUUUUGUAAAUUUUAUAUAGGAUGUCACCUGACUGUAGCUGCUAGUAAACUCCAUCAAAAUUAAAAAAAAGGUUCGCAAAUGUGUGCUCCUUUAUAUAGAUGAUAUGGGCAGAUAUUAUCUCCUUCUUGAGGGUCUUAGAAAUUACAGAGAAAGGCAUACAAAAUGUAGGAGGCAGACUAGUUGAACCAUAAGCUUUCGACGGGAUCAGCCGAUCUGAAUACCUGGUUCUAUCCCCAAAUCCCCAAAUCGAUGUGGUAAUCUGGAUUGCGGAGGGGAUCUGGUCGCGAUCGUCAACGAGGCGAACAUAACGCAAGGACGGGGAAGAGAUGGACCUGGAGCUGUCGCCGUGCUCGCCAACAUCCUCUGCCGGCGGCCGCCUUCCGCCGCGCGUUGACCGAGCUGGCUGCAGCCGCGCCGGCCUGACGCUCGCGCUCGGAGAGCAUUUUAUUUUGUGCUGAUAACUCUGUAUUACCC
rnacentral:lncRNA from 1 species